rnacentral:rRNA from 1 species
AAUCUGGGGUCCCCGACCUCCGAGUUGUAAUUUGGAGAGGCAUCUUCGGGGGGGAGCGCCGGCCCAUGUUCCUUGGGACAGGACGUCACAGAGGGUGAGAAUCCCGUGCCUGGCCGGCUGCCUCCUCCCGGGUGAAGGACCUUCGACGAGUCGAGUUGUUUGGGAAUGCAGCUCCAAGUGGGUGGUAAAUUUCAUCUAAAGCUAAAUACCGGCGGGAGACCGAUAGCGCACAAGUAGAGUGAUCGAAAGAUGAAAAGCACUUUGAAAAUAGAGUCAAAAAGUACGUGAAAUUGUUGAAAGGGAAGCGCUUGAGACCAGACUCGGGCCCGGGCAAACAUCGCGCCCCUCGGGGCCGUGCAAUUGCCUGGGCCUGGGCCAGCAUCAGUUGGCGUGGCGGGACAAAGGCGCGGGGAAUGUGGCUCCCCUCGGGGAGUGUUAUUAGGCCCGCGCUCAAUGCCGCCGACGUCGACUGAGGACCGCGCCUCGGCUAGGAUGCUGGCUUAAUGGCCUUCAGCGACCCGUCUUGAAACACGGACCAAGGAGUCUAACAUCUAUGCGAGUGUUUGGGCGACAAACCCUUGCGCGGAAUGAAAGUGAGCGGAGGUGGGAACCCCCCCGCGGGGCGCACCAUCGACCGAUCCUGAUGUCUUCGGAUGGAUUUGAGUA